CUGGAUGGUGAGCCACCUUAGUGCACCCACUUUGGGGUAUCUGCUCUUGUUCCCUAAGGCAGGGCUCCUGGAACUGAUGUAUUUGUACCACAUGAGAAUGUCUCACCGUCCCCUAAGAUGACUGGAAGAGGACCCUAACCUGAGCUAGUUCAAUCACUGUCUUUCUCCCAGGAAUCUGGAAGUUGCUGGAACAAGACAUAUAAACCUGAAGGCUGGAGUAGUGGUGGCCAUACUCUGCCACAUGGGCCAGAGAAGUACAGUAAAAUAACAUUCAGAAAGAACAAAGAGUGAAGCAGACACACACGGAGCUGCAGAGCUGAGAGGAGAAAUGACUCCUCCUCAUUUCUUGGUUACAGUCCUUCCUGAGGUGUCACGGCAUUAUCCCUUUGGAUCGAGACAUUUUUGUGUUCCUAUAAAAGGCUCCCUAUCAGUGCACAUAAUCCGUAAGGAGUGUUGAAACAUCACUGGAAAUGUAAUUAGAUGGAGAAAAUUCUGAUCACCUGAACUUCUCUAAGAGACUAUUACACAUAGUUGGAAGCAAUAGUUUGAUUAGCCAGUUAGGGGGAGACUCUAUUAAAGGGUUUACUUAAUACUGUCCCAUCAAGCUGUUGAUAAGACUUGUAAGAGGAAAAGGGAUGAGGGUGUCCGCUUAACUGCAGGGUUUUUGUUUUCUCCAGUGGGUAUGAACCUCAGGGGGGCGAGAAGUUGAGUUGCUUUGGACAAGAGGGCAGAGACUGAGUACUCUUCAGCCAUCCCCUAUGCAGAGAUCAGCUUUUCUACUGAGAACAGUUGAAGAAAUAGUCCAAGAAUACUCAAAGAAAACGUUUGAUAAGAUGCCAAAUUGUUCUAUAAGACAGGGCCGGUGGGAAGUCAGAAGAAACUAUGUAGCUUCCUAAACAUGAAAGAUGAGAGAGGCACAAGGAGCUAGAGACCAAGGCAGAUGCUGAAACUCAGGAGGCUGGUCAUUGAGGAUGCAGCGAAAGAGUGCAAGGAUUUUAAACAAGAGAACAUUGAAACCUAUUGUCCAAGCUUUAUAUUCAAGGAUGCUGCCAGGAGAUGGAGGGGACUCCUAAGAUGACACUUGUUCUACUGCCUCUCUUCUGGUAUGAUGACUGUGACACAUGUGAAUCGAAGGCACCUAAGACACUACAAAGACUAAGGCUGUGCUUCUCCAGUUGGGGGACCUGUGCCCUUACAGGCAAUCAGACGGGAAGUUACAGAAUAAUUACAGCAUAUCUUCUUGGAAUUAUCAAAUUUUCUCCAUUUCUACAAGAAAACCUCAUUUCAUUGUGCUUUUGUUUUACUGUGCUUCACAGAUGUCGCAUUUUUUACAAACUGAAGGUUUGUGUCAACCCUGCAUCAAGCAAGUUUAUUAGGACCAUUUUUCCAACAGCAUUUGCUCACUUCAUGUCAUUAUGUCCCGUUUUGGGAAUUCUCACAAUAUUUUACAAUUUUCAUUAUUCAUCUAUUUGUUGUGGUAAUCUGUGAUCACUGAACUUUGAUGUUACCAUUGCAACUCAAAGAAGGCUCAACAAUCGUU